rnacentral:hammerhead_ribozyme from 1 species
GCACUGCCGAAGAGUCCCAUACUAGGAUGAAACGGCUGUCCAGUAC